GGAAAUUGUAGCAAGCUUCUUUUCCUGAGAAGUGUACAGUGCAGCGGUCUUUAGGAUCAGCAGGAUAUACAAAGCCUCAGAAUCUUCAAAAAACCAAAAUCACUGAACAGAGAAAAAAAAACAGCACAAUCAUCUAAAUGUCCCGGUGGUUCUAGCAUUGUGGAGCGUAGGAGUCACAAUGCUGUGAAUGAGAGUCGAAUGAUACCUGUGUGAUCCCGCACUAGAUCCUUCCUGGAAAUGGUUCUAUCAUUCUGGAGCAUAGGAUUUCCAAUGCUGUGAAUGAGAGUCGAAUGAUACCCAUGACACACCUUUGUGAUUCUUCUCAAGAUCCUUCCUGGAAAUAUCGCAUACAUGGUUAUUGUGAAGAUGCUCAAGAGUAUUGUUGCCGUGAAGAAUGUGAUAAGGGCAAGCAAGUAAUGUCUUCAUCACGUGGACUAGAUAAUGAGUGUUCUGGAUUCAAGUUACAUGCUCCUGCAAAGGUUUUUCAGAGUUUUAUGCCACCAAAGUACUGUGGUAAAUUUCUUGGUGGCCAUUCUAUUAGCAGGGAAAAGGAGGUACAGACCGGGAAAACAAGAUACCGACCUGUUGAAGAAAUUCUUGGUUUAUCAUUAGGCACCAAGUGGGUGAAAACUACUAGCUCCUCAAGAGUUGUGUCCACCAAUCAUCUAAAUGUCCUGAUGGUUCUAUCAUUCUGGAGCGUAGAAGUCCCAAUGGUGUGAAUGAGAGUCGAAUGAUACCCAUGACACACCCUUGUGAUCGUGCUCUAGAUCUUUCCUGGAAGUAAGUAUCCUUCAUCAUGCACCUUAAUUACUAACACAAGUUAACACGAGGUAAAUUAUACUCUAUAAGAGUUCAAAUUUCAGCUCAUAUCUAUCAUUGCAUGCUAGAUUUUUGGAUGGCUCAUCUUUGCUAGUAGUCAGCUGACUGAUUAAUCUUUUCUUUUAUCGCAGACCUUUCUUUUAUGAACUCCACUGGUAUUUUCCCUAUUGAUUAGUAAGGAAACAUAUUUGUACUUUUUAGUUAAUAACAUAAUGUUGGUUCACAAGGGGAUGACCUAGUUGUUAAUGUCACACCCCUUUUUACGUACUCCAGAGGAUUUAUGUUUUAAGGGUCGAAAGGGUUUUAAUUAUUAA